AGCUGGCUAGCUCAGUCGGUAGAGUAUUAGACUCUUAAUUUCAGGGUCAUGGGUUCAAGCCCCAUACUGGGCA